AUUGAACGCUGGCGGCAUGCUUUACACAUGCAAGUCGAACGGCAGCGGGGGCUUCGGCCCGCCGGCGAGUGGCGAACGGGUGAGUAAUGCAUCGGAACGUGCCCAGUCAUGGGGGAUAACUACGCGAAAGCGUAGCUAAUACCGCAUACGCCCUGAGGGGGAACGGGGGGGAUCGCAAGACCUCACGUGAUUGGAGCGGCCGAUGUCAGAUUAGCGAGUUGGGGAGGUAAAGGCUCACCAAGGCGACGAUCUGUAGCGGGGCUGAGAGGAUGAUCCGCCACACUGGGACUGAGACACGGCCCAGACUCCUACGGGAGGCAGCAGUGGGGAAUUUUGGACAAUGGGCGAAAGCCUGAUCCAGCCAUGCCGCGUGAGUGAAGAAGGCCUUCGGGUUGUAAAGCUCUUUCGGACGGAAAGAAAUCGCACGGGCCAAUACCUCGUGUGGAUGACGGUACCGUAAGAAGAAGCACCGGCUAACUACGUGCCAGCCGCCGCCGUAAAAC
rnacentral:rRNA from 1 species